rnacentral:rRNA from 1 species
UGGGGAAUCUUGCACAAUGGAGGAAACUCUGAUGCAGCGACGCCGCGUGAGUGAUGAAGCCCUUCGGGGUGUAAAGCUCUUUCGACAGGAACGAUAAUGACGGUACCUGAAGAAGAAGCUGCGGCUAACUACGUGCCAGCAGCCGCGGUAAUACGUAGGCAGCAAGCGUUGUUCGGAAUUACUGGGCGUAAAGAGUGUGUAGGCGGUGCUCUAAGUUUGGUGUGAAAUCUCCCGGCUCAACCGGGAGGCUGCAUCGAAUACUGGAAUGCUAGAGGGUGGGAGAGGUAAGCGGAAUUCCUGGUGUAGCGGUGAAAUGCGUAGAUAUCAGGAGGAACACCUGUGGUGUAGACAGCUUACUGGACCACUUCUGACGCUGAGACACGAAAGCGUGGGUAGCAAACAGG